AGUGAACGCUGGCGGUAGGCCUAACACAUGCAAGUCGAACGGCAGCACAGUAAGAGCUUGCUCUUACGGGUGGCGAGUGGCGGACGGGUGAGGAAUACAUCGGAAUCUACUUUUUCGUGGGGGAUAACGUAGGGAAACUUACGCUAAUACCGCAUACGACCUACGGGUGAAAGCAGGGGAUCUUCGGACCUUGCGCGAUUGAAUGAGCCGAUGUCGGAUUAGCUAGUUGGCGGGGUAAAGGCCCACCAGGGCGACGAUCCGUAGCUGGUCUGAGAGGAUGAUCAGCCACACUGGAACUGAGACACGGUCCAGACACCUACGGGAGGCAGCAGUGGGGAAUAUUGGACAAUGGGCGCAAGCCUGAUCCAGCCAUACCGCGUGGGUGAAGAAGGCCUUCGGGUUGUAAAGCCCUUUUGUUGGGAAAGAAAAGCAGCAGGUUAAUACCCCGCUGUUCUGACGGUACCCAAAGAAUAAGCACCGGCUAACUUCGUG
rnacentral:rRNA from 1 species